GUGUCAGUCAGGGCGCCCCGGUGUACAGAAGACAAUGACGUGUGCCAACGUUUACACCAGUAAUUAAACACAAGGCUGCAUGACACUGAAUCAAGAGGUUGUAAAACUGAUGCUGAAGCAUGCAUAGAAAAUGGCAUUACCAUAAUCUAUCCCUGACAUAAAACUGGCUUACACUGUUUAAUUGUCUUGCUGAGAAGACAGACGUGAUUUGAUUCUAUAAAACAGACCCAUUUUAAUCAUACAACUCUGUGUUUAUUGUUUUAACCUAAUUGGAAGGUAUUUGAAGGUAGGGACGUGUACGGACACAGAACUGUCCAAGGUAUUUAUUUCUGAGAUCAUGCUAGGACCUAGACAACGCAGUUUACUUUGUUCCUUUUGCAUUGAGUAAUAAGCUGAGAUCCACCAGUGAUUUUGAGGAAAUCUGUGAGUGUGCAAAUGCUUGUGCAAGGGAGGGAGCAGACACGUUUCGGAGGGUGUCAUCAGCAUACAAAAUGAAGUUAAAAGUGCCUCACAGAGUUACAGAUAUUGCAGUUUUUCUUUAUUUCUUGAGCACUUUUGUCCAAGUAGAAUUCACAUUUUUAAAACAGUUAACAUACAGGUCACAACUGAAACACUGCUGGCUAAAUUGACAAAUUCCCUUACCUUAAGGCAGUACUUGCAUCAAAACAUAAAUAGUAAUUUAGGUCAAUCAUUACACAUUGGCCCAAUGAAUCCUAACUCUGACUAUCAACAUAUCCUAGCAUAUUUAACCCUCUUUUUCAUGUAGGCCUAUGUCCCAUUUGUUAAUACUCCGAGUAUAGUAUAGUUAGGUCCGGAAAUAUUUGGACACUGACAGACUUUCAUCUUUAAUUCAAGGGGUUGAACAAAAAUAUUUUAUGAAACGUUUAGGAAUUGCAACCAUUUUCAUACACAGUCCCCUUAUUUCAGGGUCUCAAAUGUAAUUGGACAAAUUAACACAAUCAUAAAUAAAAAUGUUGUUGAGCAGGCAAUGACUGCUUGAAGUCUGGAACACAUGGACAUCACCAAACACUGGGUUUCUUCCUUUGUGAUGGUUUGCCAGGCCUUUACUGCUGCUAUAUUCAGUUGUUGUUUGUUCGUGGGUCUUUCUGCCUUAAGUUGUCUUCAGCAAGUGAAAUGCAUGCAUGAUCGGGUUGAGAUCAUGUGAUUGACUCUGCCAUUGCAGAAUAUUCCACUUCUUUGCCUUAAAAAACAACUGGGUUGCUUUUGCAGUAUGUUUUGGGUCAUUGUCCAUCUGUAGAGUGAAGCGCCAUCCAACCAACUUCGCUGAAUCUGAGCUGACAAUAUAUCUCUAUUCCCUUCAGAAUUAAUCUGGCUGCUUCUGUCACAUCUUCAAUAAACACUAGUGACCCAGUGCCAUUGGAAGCCAUGCCAUCACACUGCCUCCACCGUGUUUUACAGAUGAUGUGACAAAGGACAACUGGACCUUCUGGAUAUAAAUCCCUCCUUCAAAUCAUUCAGAAAGAGCACAGACUGAAACAUGCCCAAAGUUCCUCCAUUCCCAGAGCUGCCAAACUCCCACCUCAAAAAAUAUCUACUGAUCAGUCAACUCCAUUGGGGAUAACGGAUACGUUCCACUGAUUUGACAAAAAAAAGGUUUAACACUUGGACCGAUGAGAGAACAAAUGUAUCACACAAAUGUAGAAGUCCGCAGCCUAGAUAUUCCAACCAGUUGGUAACCACCUACACAUCUAAAAGCUCAGAACUACUGUACUAGGUAUCUUUAAGAAACAUUGGAAUAUUUUAGACUCAGAUCAAGCCUUAGAAAACACAUUUCAAUGUCAGUACACCAAGUGCAUUUAAAGGGUUUUCCCUUCCCAGUCCGGGCCAAGACAUAACUAUCAAAAAUAGCAUUCAUUGCAAUUCUCAUGAUGUCAUCCGUUAAACGCUGCCCUUGUGGCUUGUUUUAUGUUGGAGUGACUAGAAUACGUGAGCACAGUAGUUCCAACUGACGUGUAGAGGUUAGUUGCCCAGUGUCCCUUCACUUAAAAGAACGGGGCCACUCACAAUGCAAAUUCUUCAGCAGAAACAACCACAGAGAUGAUAUUGAUAAAUACCAAAGAAAUGAUUGAACUGAAUUUUCUUUUUACAAUCCGAUGUCUAAAUCACCUUACGGAAUUGAUAACUAUAAACAUGUUUUGUCAGAUAAGAAGACUAGUUCCAAUUAAAUAAAGAUUUCAUGCCAAACACUAAAAACAUCUAGAAUUGAGGUUCACAUACUUUCGAGCAGCACUGAACGUUUCUUUGUAAUUUGUUUUUAUUAACCAAUAUACACCUCUGGAAAAAAUUAAGAGACCACCACAACUUUUUCUUUCCUUUCCAAAAAAGCUGAAAAAGAAGGUUUUGAGUGAGGAACAGAAGGGUUAAAAUUAAGAGACCACUACAAAUUGAACGCUUCUGUUCCUCACUCAAAACCUUCCUUUUCAACUGUUUUGGAAAGGAAAGAAAAAGGUGCAUUGGUCUCUUAAUGUAUUCCGGACAUGUAUUAACCAGCCCCACUGGUUUAUAUAUUAAAUACGCCGAAGACUGAUAAUACACAGUAACUGUCUACUACUCCCCUUAACAAGACAACUAAGGUGUUGGUCAUCGCUAACCUAACUAUGUUUUUCAUUACCAUAAAAUGUUUGUUUGUUGUCUUUGUAUGACUGAUGAGGGCCACUAAAGUUUAAAACAUUUGCCAUAAUAAAACGUCUACAUUUUAAAUGGGGAGAGCUUUUAAAAUGUUGAUGUUUUAUUUGAUUUUGCGUCUGAACAUGGAAUCAUGUUGGUAGAGUGCUCUCCACUCUUUUCAUACUGUUCUAGAUAUUUCAAUACAUUAUGUUUAGAAAAGCAUGUUGUGUCACUAUCUGACAACUGUGUACUUCCUGGUAGUCAACAGUAAUUAAAUGGACAGAAGAGAGCCAAUUAGCUAAUGACCAGUAGAAACAAUACAUUCAAUUCCUUGGUGACCCACUGCAGAGACAAAAACAAGGUUAAAACACUGGUUGCAUAGACGCCAACUCUUUCUCUCCAACUCUCUCGACCAAAGUGC
ensembl:lncRNA